AAAGGAAUUGCUAAUUGCACCACAUGUGUUUUUCUUUGAAACAAACUUGCUUUGGCGGUGGGCCCAGCCUGCCGCCAGAGGUCUAAACUUACAACCAAUUUUUUAUCAACUUGUCACACCAGAUUAUUACUAAUAGUCAAAACUUUCAACAACGGAUCUCUUGGUUCUCGCAUCGAUGAAGAACGCAGCGAAAUGCGAUACGUAAUAUGAAUUGCAGAUAUUCGUGAAUCAUCGAAUCUUUGAACGCACAUUGCGCCCUCUGGUAUUCCGGAGGGCAUGCCUGUUUGAGCGUCGUUUCUCCCUCAAACCGCUGGGUUUGGUGUUGAGCAAUACGACUUGGGUUUGCUUGAAAGACGGUAGUGGUAAGGCGGGAUCGCUUUGACAAUGGCUUAGGUCUAACCAAAAACAUUGCUUGCGGCGGUAACGUCCACCACGUAUAUCUUCAAACUUUGACCUCAAAUCAGGUAGGACUACCCGCUGAACUUAAGCAUAUCAAUAAGCGGAGGAA
rnacentral:rRNA from 1 species